rnacentral:rRNA from 1 species
GCCAGGGAAUUACGAGCCCAAGCUUAAAACCCAAAGGACUUGACGGUGUCCCACCCUCCUAGAGGAGCCUGUUCUCUAAUCGAUUCUCCCCGAUCCACCUCACCGCCUCUUGAACACCCAGUCUGUAUACCUCCGUCGCAAGCUUACCAUGUGAACGCAUAUUAGUGGGCUUAAAAAUCCAACAUUCACACGUCAGGUCAAGGUGCAGCCCACGAGGCGGGAAGAAAUGGGCUACAAUCUCUAUUUUAGAACAAACGAAAGACUGCAUGCAAUACAGUUACCAAGGCGGAUUUAGAAGUAAAAAGAAAAUAGAGAGUUCUUUUUAAUUAGGCCCUGGGACGCGUACACACCGCCCGUCACCCUCUUCAAACAACCCAACACAAUGUCACUAACACUAAAAAAUUCUACAGAAGAGGCAAGUCGUAACACGGUAAGCGUACUGGAAAGUGUGCUUGGAAUAACAAAAUGUAGCUUAAUAAAAGCCCCUUGCUUACACCAAGGAUAUGUCUGUUAAACUCUGACCCUUUUGAGCCCAAAAUCUAGCCCUACCAAUUCUAAUGAGCACAAUUUAAUUAAACUAAACAAAUAAAACAUUUUUUUAACCAAGUAAAGGCGAUUAAAAAGUACCUAGGAG